UACGUAGGUGGCAAGCGUUGUCCGGAUUUACUGGGCGUAAAGAGCGCGCAGGCGGUCAAGUAAGUCGAAUGUGAAAGCCCCCGGCUCAACUGGGGAGGGUCAUUCGAUACUGCUUGACUUGAAGGCAGGAGAGGGCAGCAGAAUUCCCGGUGUAGUGGUGAAAUGCGUAGAUAUCGGGAGGAAUACCAGUGGCGAAGGCGGCUGCCUGGCCUGUUCUUGACGCUGACACGCGAAAGCUAGGGGAGCGAACGGG
rnacentral:rRNA from 1 species